rnacentral:misc_RNA from 1 species
GAUGAAGAACGUAGCGAAAUGCGAUAAGUAAUGUGAAUUGCAGAAUUCAGUGAAUCAUCGAAUCUUUGAACGCACAUUGCGCCCGCCAGUAUUCUGGCGAGCAUGCCUGUUCGAGCGUCAUUUCAACCAUCAAGCCCCAGGCUUGUGUUGGAGCCCUGCGGCUGCCGCAGCCUCCCAAAACCAGUGGCGGGCUCGCUAUCACACCGAGUGCAGUAGUUUACUCUUCGCUCAGGGCGUGUGGCGGGUGCUAGCCGUGAAACCCCCAACUUCACAAGGUUGACCUCGGAUCAGGUAGGAAUACCCGCUGAACUUAAGCAUAUCAAUAAGCGGAGGA